AGCGUUUUGACCCAUAAAAAUACUUUAUUUUUUUAAUCACACUCCUCGUAUUUGCUGUCCUUAUCACCACUUCACCAGCAGCGGGGUGUGUGUGUGUCACUUUCCUGUGAGAAAUAGGCGUCAUGACGCAAACUUUGGACACCCAGAAUUUCAACGAUGUGGAAACGGACGAAUCAGGGUGACUUUCACAGAAAGGACCGCGGUGGCUCCCGCUUGGAGGUUCUGAUGUAAGUGUCCAGCGUGUGAUUUAGGAUCAGCUUUUCUGAGAAACUGCGCUUGGAUAACCAUCGCCUUUGGUCCAAAGACAAGGAGCUGUCUGAAUACUUACAGGCAAACUUUGCCCAGCCAGUGCUGCGAGUUGCAGAGCAGGAGAAGGCAGCGCAGGAAAAGAGGACGGGCAAGAAAUGAGAAAACAUGCAAUCUAAGAGGUUUCUGCGCGUUCGUGCCGGGACCCACCUGGCCGGCCAGCGUCAGUGGGAGGUGCGACGGGCUGCAGAGGGCCAACGAAGCCACCGAGCGCGGCAGCUCCUGGAUGGGAGCCUCGUCCAGAUCGUCGAUGCGAGGUUUCUUGAUGUUUGUCUCGGGGCUGGUCAGAGGAGUCACGCUGUUCCUCCGGAUCAAGCUGCCGGGACCCCUCUUCACCUCCUUGUUCACCGCGUCCACGUUCAAAGAGAUGGACUCGACCUUGCAUCCGUAGGCAACGGGGGUGAGCUUCAGCACGGUGUGGAGGGGACACUUCAGGAAGUACGCCAGGAGGCAGCGCAUGACGGCCUGGUGGCAGAUGACCAGCACAUUCUCCUGCCUCUCCAGCUCCAUGAUGACCGGCUCCACCCUCUGGACCAG